AAGCAAUCAAAUCUAAAGGAAAGGCAAAAGAAAAACAAAUGAAGAAUGAAAAAGAAGUGAAGCAAGUACUGCUCAACCAUCUCUGACUCCAACUCCUAUGAGACGUGCGCGGUCUCGACCCCUGAAGUUGGAGCACUAAGUUCACACCAAUGGGAGGAUUCCAAUGUCGAUCGCCCCUAGCGCGGAGAAGCUUAUUUUUCCACACACUAUUCACUUCAGCCAGACAAUAGGCAUGUGUGUAAGAAAGACAUUUCCAAUCUGCUGCCUUCAGUGGGUAGACAUAGGCAGAGAAUACAUCGAGGUCGUCAAGGGCAACCUACAGCAUUUUUUCGUCCUUGAUUUUGAUGAACAAGCAAUGAAUAGGUUCGUUGAGCAUCAAAUGCUCAGUACCUUUAAAGAGUUUAGGGACCACUGUCACAUGUACUUCAAAAAGUACAACAACCAUGAGGAGGCACGUGCCAACCCACCACAUAUAUUGGUGAGAUGUAUGAAGGAUUGACACUACCUCUGUGAUCAUUACAUGAGUUGCGCA